rnacentral:lncRNA from 1 species
GUCGGAAAUUAAUAAUAUAACAAAUAUAGCCUUUGUAUGAGGUUAAUACAGGAUAUAUCGACCAAAAAAAUAUACUCUUUCAGGUCAAUAUAUCCUUGUAUCGACCUCAUACAAAGGCUAUAUUUGUAUAGUAUUGGUGAAGCAUUGCAUAUCAAAGUACAAUUAAAAAGCAAUUUUCUUUUGGGAAUCAUUCACAUAAAACUACAUAACAGAUGUACAUGUGUCUACUAAAGAUUCAUUAUUAUUUGUUGCAGACCAAUUUUCAUGGGUUUCUUGGGUACAAGUCAACCAUAAAUUAAACUGUUCAACAGAUUUUCUAUAAGCUUGUGAGUAGACAAAGGCAAAACAAAGAAAUCA